rnacentral:rRNA from 1 species
GAUGAACGCUGGCGGCGUGCUUAACACAUGCAAGUCGAACGAGAAGUGAAGACGGAAACCUUCUGGCGGAAGGCUUUAUUUCGAGUGGCGGCCGGUUGAGUACCGCGUUGGUAACCUGCCUCAUACAGGGGGAUAACAGUUUGAUACGACUGUUAAUACCGCAUUAGACCACAGCACCGCAUGGUGCGGGGGUAAAAACUCCGGUGGUAUGAGAGGGACCUGAGUUCGAUUAGCCAGUUGGCGGGGUAACGGCCCACCAAAGCGACGAUCGAUAGCCGAUCUGAGAGGAUGGCCGGCCACAUUGGGACUGGGACACGGCCCGAACUCCUACGGGAAGCAGCAGUGGGGAAUAUUGCACAAUGGGGGAAACCCUGAUGCAGCGACGCCGCGAGAGUGAAGAAGUAUUGCGGUAUGUAAAGCGCUAUCAGAAGGGAAGAAAAUGACGGUACCUGAGGAAGAAGCCCCGGCCAACUACGUG